GGGGAUUGUCCGCGCUGACGCUCAUAGCAGUCGAGCGCACACCGGUCUUUGUUCAUUAAUCGGUUCCCUGUAAAGAUGACAUCCGAUUAAGACAAAACACGUCGCCCGAUCACUAUAAAAGACCUAUGCAAAUGCCAAUGCCACAACACUGUAAUGAAACAGUCGCACUGGUCAUACAGCUACCAACGCAAUUAGAUAGCUUAUCAAUCCAAUACGUGCCUACCUGUCGACAAUCAUCAUGAAAACUUUCACACUUUGCCUAAUGGUUCUGCUUGGAUGCCUCUUGAUGUUCAGUCCAGUUUCGGCUCAAUGGGGCGGGCGUGGUGGCCGUGGAGGCGAUAGCAGCAGCGAGGAGAGCGGUGAGCGUGGUGGAAAUGGCGGUGGUUGGUUCGGAGGGCGCGGUGGACGCGGAGGUGGUGGUUCACGUGGUGGAUACGGUGGAGGUCGUGGUGGGGACUACGAUUAGGUUGGCAUUUCCCAUCUACCGCAGUAGAAACAAUACACUCGUAAUAAUGUAAAAUACUAUGUGAAAUUACUAAAUUGUUGGAACAAAAAGUAAUA